rnacentral:rRNA from 1 species
AGUGAACGCUGGCGGUAGGCCUAACACAUGCAAGUCGAACGGCGGCACAGGAGAGCUUGCUCUCUGGGUGGCGAGUGGCGGACGGGUGAGGAAUACAUCGGAAUCUACUCUGUCGUGGGGGAUAACGUAGGGAAACUUACGCUAAUACCUCAUACGACCUACGGGUGAAAGCAGGGGACCUUCGGGCCUUGCGCGAUUGAAUGAGCCGAUGUCGGAUUAGCUAGUUGGCGGGGUAAAGGCCCACCAAGGCGACGAUCCGUAGCUGGUCUGAGAGGAUGAUCAGCCACACUGGAACUGAGACACGGUCCAGACUCCUACGGGAGGCAGCAGUGGGGAAUAUUGGACAAUGGGCGCAAGCCUGAUCCAGCCAUACCGCGUGGGUGAAGAAGGCCUUCGGGUUGUGAAGCCCUUUUGUUGGGAAAGAAAUCCAGCUGGCUAAUACCCGGUUGGGAUGACGGUACCCAAAGAAUAAGCACCGGCUAACUUCGUGCCAGCCGCCGCCGUAA